CGGAUGAGGAACACGGCUGGGGGUUCCUUCCUCUUACCGCGGCAUGGCGAAAAUGGAUCCUCGCUUCAGGAAACGUGCUGAUGGCAGUCUAAACAUCACAGACACAAUUGAUGCGACAAAGGUGAAGGAUAGCAACAAAGGAAAGCCGUGGAUGCAAACCAUGUCCCCAGAGGGAGUGUUGGAGAAGAAGGCCAAAAAAGCUUUAAUUCAGCACUAUGGAGAUCCAUCCAUGGUUUCUUUGAAAUCCAGUUUGGUGUGUUUCGCGUGCAGACAUUCAGGUGGAGUGGCUGAAUAUCUGCACGCUGCUUACCUGGUGGCAACAACACAGAGGGACGCAACAGAAGGCAGUAAAUACUCCCAAGACCAUGGCCACAACGAGAGGUGUGAGACCACCCAGCACUCUAUUCCCACCUAACACAAUGCCCCGACCAAGCACUCUGCGCCAACCCAGCACGCUAACACCACCCAGCACGCUGCCCCCAUCCAACAGGCUGCCACCACCUCUCCCUCUUGGUUAGGAAGGUGAUCAGAAAAGCCUGACCAAUGCUGUGAAAAGCCUGGUUCUCCCCUUCAAAGCCAAACCAUGCAUGUGCAUGGCCAUCACCCAGCCUCACCCACCCAACUGUGUCCACGAAGCUGGAUGAUAGCACGCUGCUGGCAGAGGCAUUGAGGUUUGAGGAGGCACACGUUGCACCACAACGAGUCUCUUCAGCUGGCUGGAUGCACACCUUGCCUGAAGUGGACCAGAGGUGGAUAUCAAAGGCCCUGUUCAGGUGCACAGCACAAUGGCAUCCUGCUCUGGACUUUAGCAGGGUGGACAGACUUUAUCCUCCACAGGUGCCACUGAAGACCAGUAAUUAUCCUCCACUGGAAACUUACUUUGGCCAUCCCCUGCUGCUCUGGAAGCCAUGAAAGCUGUGGCAAGUCAAGCAUCGUGUCAUAUAGAAGUCAUUGUUAUUGUAACUAUGUAAAAACAGAAAGCGGGUUUGGACGUUUCUGUGUUCUUAUUUGUCUGUUUUUUUUAUUGAUGUUGCACUUUAUUUCAUUACAUUUUAUUGGCAUUUAGUUUAUUUAUGCCUAAAGUCAUUUAUGUUACACUUUAUUGUUAUUAUCAUCAUUGCUGUUAUCAUCAUUCUUGUUCUAACUAUCUUAAACAAUAUAC